rnacentral:rRNA from 1 species
AACGAACGCUGGCGGCAUGCCUAACACAUGCAAGUCGAACGAAACCUUCCUGUCUAGGUGCGCAGGUGUACUUGACACGUGGUAACCUGCCCUUGGGUUCGGAAUAACUGCCCUUAAGGUGUCCUAAUACCAGAUAAUGUCUUCGGACCAAAGAGUUAUCGCCUUUGGAUGGGCGCUCGUUGGUUUAGCUAGUUGGUAGGGUAAAAGCCUACCAAGGCGACGAUGCAUAGCUGGUCUGAGAGGAUGAUCAGCCACGCUGGGACUGCGACACGGACCAGACUGCGACGGGAGGGAGCAGUGGGGAAUAUUGGACAAUGAGCGAAAGCCUGAUAAAGCAAUGCCGCGUGAGUGAUGAAGGCCUUAGGGUUGUAAAGCCCUCUUACCCGGGAUGAUAAUGACAGUACCGGGAGAAGAAGCUCCGGCUAACUCCGUG